rnacentral:tRNA from 1 species
GAGGGUAUAGCUCAGUGGUAGAGGACAUACUUAGCAUACAUGAGGUCCUGGGUUCAAUCCCCAGUACCUCCA